GACGAACGCUGGCGGCGUGCUUAACACAUGCAAGUCGAACGGAAAGGCCCUGCUUUUGUGGGGUGCUCGAGUGGCGAACGGGUGAGUAACACGUGAGUAACGUGCCCUUGACUUUGGGAUAACUUCAGGAAACUGGGGCUAAUACCGGAUAGGAGCUCCUGCUGCAUGGUGGGGGGUGGAAAGUUUCGGCGGUUGGGGAUGGACUCGCGGCUUAUCAGCUUGUUGGUGGGGUAGUGGCUUACCAAGGCUUUGACGGGUAGCCGGCAUGAGAGGGUGACCGGCCACAUUGGGACUGCGAUACGGCCCAGACUCCUACGGGAGGCAGCAGUGGGGAAUAUUGCACAAUGGGCGGAAGCCUGAUGCAGCGACCCCGCGUGCGGAAUGACGGCCUUCGGGUUGUAAACCGCUUUCGCCUGUGACGAAGCGUUAGUGACGGUAAUGAGUAAAGAAGCACCGGCUAACUACGUG
rnacentral:rRNA from 1 species